UACGCUGAAACACCGGUUCUCGUACGAUCACCGAAGGUAAGCAACGUCGAGCCUGGUCAGUACCUAAGUGGGUAAUCGCUUGGGAACACCAGGUACGG